rnacentral:rRNA from 1 species
GUUUGAUCCUGGCUCAGAGCGAACGUUAGCGGCGGGGCCUAACACAUGCAAGUCGAACGGUCAGUAGCAAUACUGACAGUGGCGCACGGGGUGAGUAACGCGUAGGGGAUCUACCCUUGGUCGGGGGAUAACGUCUUGAAAAAGACGCUAAUACCGCAUAAGCCCACGAUGUUGAGGCAUUGAGGGAAAAGGUGGCGCCUGCAAGGGGCUACUGACGAAGGAUGACCCUGCGUCCCAUCAGCUAGUUGGUAGGGUAAAGGCCUACCAAGGCGAAGACGGGUAGCUGGUCUGAGAGGAUGGACAGCCACACUGGCACUGGAACACGGGCCAGACUCCUACGGGAGGCAGCAGUGGGGAAUAUGGGCAAUGGGCGAAAGCCUGACCCAGCCACGCCGCGUGAGUGAUGAA